CAGCUGGCAAGUCCCCGCCCUCCGCUCUGCACGGCGUCUGUGGCAGCCCCGAAAUGUGGAGCUCCUGAGCCACUCGUCAGGGGAGAGCAGAUCCGACAAGCCGAGGGAGUUUCCCCAGGCUGCCCUCCCCCGGAACGCCUGCGCUCCAAAUCCUACCCUUUCGGCAGAGCCCAGCAGGUCCCAGCUCCUCCAGGAAGUCUCCCCUGACUGGGCCGGCCCCCAUUUACCAUCGCCACACUUGAGUUCGUCCAAACCCAUGCGGCACUGAAGCACUCGGUAAAAUAUAAGAGGAGAAAAGGAGAGGCUCAGCUGGAGGGAGACGUGAGGCGCCGCCUCCCUCCGACUCUGGCACAUCACUGGUGUACCUCGGUGCGGCAGAAGGGAAGCUACUGAACUGAAUUUCAUGACGGCCACUCACUGCAGCUGUGGCCCAGAUCAUCAUGAGACAAGUGGCUGUGACAGAAGCUGAAUCGUCUUCUGCAGAUCUGCCCUCUCCAACCAAGCUGGCCUCAGCAGAGUUGUCCAAGGCAGCUGCAGGUCACCUCUCUGCAGACUGACGGACUUCGCUAACACUACUCACUCUGAUCCCAUGACUCCUGUGGAACCACUCUUGGCAGAAGUCCAUCCAAGGCUGGCAUUGUGCAAGCAGCCCAAAAAAGGGCCACCACCACUCCAAGCAAUUCCUGCCCCAGGGAGAGGGGUAGAUAACCCCAUACACCAGUCCAACCACACACAAUAGUGAGCUGGGGGCAGAUUUCUGGACUGACUGCUGGUCCCACCUACCAACAAAAGUAUCUCAAGGAGAUAUGUAAUAUUUAAUAAUAUUAAUAAUAUUUAAUAUAAAUACAGAGAGAACACCUUGCUGUUCAGUGCUACUGAAGCUCUGGCAAACUCCUGAUCUGACUCAACUCAAGCUCAAGACAAUCCCAUACUGGCAAAAUUACAACACAGGGACCAAACCCUGCCCAGAACAGGCAGAGAGCCUUUGCAGAUGACUAGACUAAAGGCAAACAUUACUCAGCCACAACAGUAAGGCACAUACAACAUGCACAGAAGACACCCCUGAAAUUCCAGGGUCUGGUGAAGAGGGGACAUUCUACUGCAGGGCACUAUAGGACCACCUAUACAUCCAUGACUUUCAAAAGUGAUGUAGCUGACUUUCACAACACGUAAAAACAGACACAGAGAGUUAGACAAAAUGAGGAGACAGAAGAAUAUGUCCCAAAUGAAAGACCAGGACAAAAUCACAAGGAAGCUAAAUGAAAUGGAGAUAAGCAAUUUGGCUGCUGGAGAAUUUAAAGUAAUAGUCAUCAACAUACUCACUAGAAUGUAGGAAAGAGUGAAGGACUCAGUGAGACACUCAACAAAGAGUUAGAAAACACA